UGAAAAGUACGUACUUUACUGAAGAUAAUUGUGUUGCAGUGGAUGAUCGCCUUGUCGAGAUUGCUGUAUCAACAAAUCAAGAACUUCGUUUUCUUUCUAUGCAAGGUGUUUGCAUGACAUCUUCGCUAUUUGGUAAAUAUGAAGAUGGGGACAUCGUGAAUAAGUUACAAGAGAUGUAUGAGGUACUCAAAAAUUCGAGGGAGGAGCCUUUUACGAUGGAAGAGAUAAAUGAAGUUCGAGAAAAGUUGGGAAACUUCAUUUCUAGUGAUUGUCUUUGAUAUUUUCUUGUAGUGAAUUUUAGUAUUGUUUUUGAUAUUUCCUUGUAAUGAAUUUUAGGUUACGGAUGCUAGUUUUUUAUGACUGUUAUGUAAUCGAGUUUUCAACUGUACAAUUUAAUUAUCUAUAUAAUUGGGUACUUUUUUAUAUGAUGUA